rnacentral:rRNA from 1 species
UACAGAGGGUGCGAGCGUUGUCCGGAAUCACUGGGCGUAAAGGGCGCGUAGGCGGCUUGAUAAGUCGGGGGUGAAAUCUUGCGGCUCAACUGCAAGGCUGCCUCCUAAACUGUCAGGCUUGAGCACAGUAGAGGCAGGUGGAAUUCCCAGUGUAGCGGUGGAAUGCGUAGAGAUCGGGAAGAACAUCGGUGGCGAAGGCGGCCUGCUGGGCUGUUGCUGACGCUGAGGCGCGACAGCGUGGGGAGCAAACAGG